rnacentral:lncRNA from 1 species
CACAGCUGUGGGGAUAUAGAAUGUAGUAGCUCCACUGCUGGAGGCAGCAGGGUUGCAGGCAAUGUCCUGCACUUGGCCCCACUGACAGCAAUCAGCCACAGUGUAGCUCCAGGUGUUUCCUGUCACAUCCCUAUUGAAUUCCAGUGUUAUCCAAUGAUCUAUUGAAAAUGUGAUUACCUACUCGCUAAUUAGUCUCCUUUUUACAGAAGAGCACGUGGAAAGCAAGACCCCUGAGGGCGCAGGUUUUAGUCAACUUUCAUUCAGUGCCGCUUCUACAGAGUUGAACACUUUCCGGUACAUUAAAUGCUCUCGAUACCUUUCUCUGAGUAAAAUUGAGCUAAGGGCUUUGGAGAUUUCACCCUGGAUUUUCAAAGGACCUCCAGUGGACUUGUGUUUUGAGAAUCUGCAACUAAAUCAUUUAUGACUAAUUCCCAAUCAAACUGUUCUCCAAAGAAAAUCAAGUGAAGGUAAGCUGCUCUCAACACUUUCAAAUAUGACUAAGCCCUUUAUACCUUCUUCAGAAAUCUACCUCCUUGUACACAGAGUUUGCUAUCUUAACUCUUUAAAUAUGGAGCAGUGGGCAAGUGGGCAAAUAUAAGUGCAAAUGAAUUUUAUUACUAAAGAUUUUCUCUGUAAAGUUCAACUGUGCCAGGGAAAGGCAACGUUUUUACUUUAAUUUUUAUUUUAUUGUAUUUUUAAAUGUUGGGCAUAUGCUAU